UAGGGAAUCUUCCGCAAUGGACGCAAGUCUGACGGAGCAACGCCGCGUGAGUGAAGAAGGAUUUCGGUUCGUAAAGCUCUGUUGUUAAGGAAGAACGAGUGUGAGAAUGGAAAGUUCAUACUGUGACGGUACUUAACCAGAAAGGGACGGCUAACUACGUGCCAGCAGCCGCGGUAAUACGUAGGUCCCGAGCGUUGUCCGGAUUUAUUGGGCGUAAAGCGAGCGCAGGCGGUUAGAUAAGUCUGAUGUGAAAGCCCCCGGCUCAACCGGGGAGGGUCAUUGGAAACUGGUUGACUUGAGUGCAGAAGAGGAGAGUGGAAUUCCAUGUGUAGCGGUGAAAUGCGUAGAUAUAUGGAGGAACACCAGUGGCGAAGGCGACUCUCUGGUCUGUAACUGACGCUGAGGUUCGAAAGCGUGGGUAGCAAACAGG
rnacentral:rRNA from 1 species